rnacentral:lncRNA from 1 species
AUGAUAGCUUCCAUCGCCAGUAUGUUUGCUACAGCAAAUAAUUAUUUCAGGAACGGUGAGAAUUUCUCUUCUCGGCCUCUGUUCCUAGGUCUUGAUGUGACAAUCCUUGUCAAGACCGUUGUAUUUUUGUUCUGCUCGGGCAUCAUACUGUGGUGCUUAUGGGAUCUAUGGAGAGGAAAUGAUGACGAUGAUGACACAGAUUUUUUGGACAUGCUGAAGGAUUUGACCGCCCAGCGCUACACUCUAUACAGUAGCUGCUUAGACCAUGUGAAGGAACUGGAUGAUCGCCCGGAGAACACUGUGCACAAGGUCAGCUGUGGGAGCAGAAGACAGAGGAAGCCACGGCGGAGGCAGCCUCCAGAUUCCUAUCUAGACUCCAGCCCAGAUUAUAGCCCUGCUACUAAAUGUGACUCUGAAUACGACAAUGAAUAUGACUUUUUCUACGACAGGGCCAGUGAAUUGGAAACAAAGAGAAAACCUUUAUUUUCCUCCAAACGUCAUGUCGAGUUACCGUCUGACUGCAAACAGUGUGGGUCUAUGCACCUGUGCAACAACGAUGAUGACAGGUUCGUCAACAUCAGAGUGGACACUCCAGAGUCCAGAAACGACACCGCCACCAGCAGUGAGACGGAGUACAGCUUUUGGCCUCUGAACAUUAUGGGGUCAUCCGAUUCUAUCAGCUCAUUUACCUCCUGGUCCUCUUUCAGCUCAACAUCCAAUCCAUCUACUCUUGUGUCUGAGAUGAGUGAAACAGUCCAUGCUACACCAGUGGUUUCUAAGGAUGAGCCAUCCUCUACUAACAAAGGUCCUGCUGGCAGGUCAGAGUUGAAUAACCCACUGUCAGUAAAAAUGCAAGGGAGGCACAAUCUAGAGCACAGCAUCCGCCGAAAGAUCAUACGCAGGUUAUGGAGACGUGCCAUAUUGUUGGUUCGAGUUAUUGGGAUGCUACUCCCAGAAAGACUGAAGCAGGCCACAAAGAGGAUUCCUGAAAUUCUUUUAAUUGUUGAAGAGGAAAAUCAUAAACCAAUGCUAUGUGACAAAGUUACAGAUCCCAACCAGCACGACAACGCAAAGACCACAUUUAAAAAAGAUAACACUACUCUAUCCCAGGUGGCAAUCAAUGGUCAGAAAGAUCUUGAACGGGAAAAGAUGGAGACUAAAAAAUCUAGCAAGCCCUUAGGUUUGAAAUUAUGUCCAGGGUUGGUGAAGACUCCUCGUCCUCAAUGUUUUGUCCAUAUUUUUGCAUAUCCCAAGCCAAGAUCAUUUUUAAUCCGUAUGAUUGGAGAGGAAACAACUGAUUUCCUUGAGAUGACUCUGAAGCAAAACCGACUACACCACCUACUGGGAGUGCCUACUCUCUACUCAGACUCCCUGGAGAAGACGGCAGCCGAGGAGGUCACACCACAGCCAGUUCAGUUGGAUUUCCAUGGUGUAGAAACCCCAUUCCUCCCCCAGGAGGUAAGGAACAGACUUGAGUGUCAUGUGAAGCAUAAAGUGAUAAAAAAGCAGUGGGCUCUUCCCAAGCUUGCUUUGAAGUAUAUAAAAGCCUUUAGGUCAGAAGGCGCUAAGUGUCAGAGAUAUAAGAGUAUGGACAACGGAAAUCUGAUUAUAGACAGUAACGCUGAAAUAAUUUCCCAGCCUCUGAUCACUUGCCAACAACUUCAGGAUGAGAUAGGGCCAAUAACAGUAACAUCACUGGAAACAGAGGGGGAGAAAUCCCUCUCUGCAGCAUCAAGUCAGUCUGAUUAUUCUACUGAGGAAAGUGUAUGUAGCAGCGUUCUUGUCAUAGAUACAUCCACUCAACCUGAUGCGUUGGAAGUUAGCAAAACUUAUCCCAGGACCAAAUUUGAAAUAGAACUGAAGAGCAAGUGCCUGGAAAUCAGAUUGUCUAUGCCACAGGGAAGGGUUCCUCCGAAGAGGUUGGUAAAGAAGCUAGUCGGACCAGGUAUGCGCAUCCCUAUACCCAGAGUGAAAAAUAUUUUAUUCAUGAGAAAGGCAUCCAUUAAACUUCUUGAGAUUAACCUGAAAAAGAAGCAUUUGGCAAAUGCAUUGAGAGCACCUACCAUCUUCAGCAAGUCUAUGGAACUGAUCACACCCAAAGAAACUCCUCAGCCUAAGGAAGUGUCAGAGGCAGAGUUUGAAUUGAAUUGUUCUAAGGCACUUAUCAGCAAAGAAAUGAGAGACAAGCUAGAGUUCCACAUCAAACGCAAAAAAAUCCAACACCUCUUGGGUCUGCAGGAAUCUCUUAAUGCCCUCAUAUCCAAGGCACCAAAAAUGGAUCCCAGCAGGGUUUUCCCAAAGCCCAAGUAUGACAUUGAGGUAGUGACAAGUGAUAUGCCCUUUUUGAUUGACGAACAGAAAGAGGCUUUAGAGGGCAAUGUGAGGAAAAAGAAAACUCACAAGAACUGGGGUUACCCAAAACUGAUAAUGGACUCUCUGAAGGCAUUUGAGGUUCCCGAGGCCAAAAACCUGGACAAGAGACACCCUCCAGCAGCUUCCAAGGAUGUCCCUGUGGAGCCGAUGUCAUCAACAUCCUCACAGAACUGA